rnacentral:rRNA from 1 species
UUGGAGGGCAAGUCUGGUGCCAGCAGCCGCGGUAAUUCCAGCUCCAAUAGCGUAUAUUAAAGUUGUUGCAGUUAAAAAGCUCGUAGUUGAAUUUCGGAGUUUGUCGGUUGGUCAGGCUUAAUUGUCUGCAUUGGUGAGAUGGAUCUCUACCUUCUGAGGAACUUUCAUGCCAUUUAUUUGGUGUGAUGGGAAAUCAGGACUGUUACUUUGAAAAAAUUAGAGUGCUUAAAGCAGGCUUACGCUUGAAUAGAUUAGCAUGGAAUAAUAAAAUAGGACGGCAUGGUUCUAUUUUGUUGGUUUCUAGGAUCACCGUAAUGAUUAAUAGGGAUAGUUGGGGGCAUUAGUAUUCAAUUGUCAGAGGUGAAAUUCUUGGAUUUAUUGAAGACUAACUUCUGCGAAAGCAUUUGCCAAGGAUGUUUUCAUUAAUCAAGAACGAAAGUUAGGGGAUCGAAGACGAUCAGAUACCGUCGUAGUCUUAACCAUAAACUAUGCCGACUAGGGAUCGGACGAUGUUAAUUUUUUAAUGACUCGUUCGGCGCCUUACAGGAAAC